GAAGAAAAUGUGGUACUUAGAUGGAAGCAAAACAGACAAGUUUACUCCUCUUCCAUAUGAUUUACUGCAUGUCUGAGUCAACUGAAACGCCAAAGCUCCAAGGCCUAUGUAGUCAUUCUGGAUUUUGACUCUGGCUGCUGUGUCGGGACUCCCUGACUCGGGCUGGGUUUGGAAGCUGCCUUGUUAUUUUAUUUUAUCGGUAAACUGUGCCAAGCCAUGUUAGCUGAUCUGCCUGGUGAUUUGUGCAAGUUAUAUAACAGCAUUACUCACUAUACUGCCAUGGGGUUCAUCUCACUAAUGUAUACUUCUAAACUGUCUUCAGCUUCAGGUCAUAUGUCAUCUUUUUUUAGGAGAACUGCAGCAAAGCUGUUUGUCCUAGUUUCUCCUCCAGAGCAGAGAAGCAGCACUGGGGAAAGUAACCAACAUUUAUUGAAUACUGUCAUGGAGUAUGAACCAUAGGAGAUGUUUACACACCCUAUCUCAUAUAAUCCUUCGAAUAAUCCCACUAGGUAGGAAUUCACAUUCCCACUUUAAGGCUGACAAAGAAACUGAGUUUCAGAAAGGUUAACUAAUCUGUUUAAGCUAGUAUAUGGACAAGCAGGCCCAUUUGCUUCCAAUGUCCUGUUAUAACACUCUAUGGUUUUAUUUUUUUAACUUUUUAUUUUGAGAUAAUUGUACAUUCAUGUUUUUAUAAGAAAUAAUACAGAGAAAUCCAAUAUAUCCUCACCCAGUUUUCCCUAAUAGAAAUAUCUUGCAAAAACUAUAGCACAAUAGCACAAGCAGGAAACUGACACUAAUGCAAUCUAGCCACCUUAUUCAGAUUUCAUCAGUUUUACAUGCACAGAUCUGUAUGUGUGCUGUUGUGACUUAACUUUAAAGUUAUUUUAAAUUUUAUUUCCUUCUCAACAUUUAGAAUCAUAUAAUUCUAGAGCUGGACUAUACCACAGGGAUCAUUUAGUCCAAACCAGUCAUUUAG